GCUUUUGAUGGGUAGGAUGAAUAUAGACUAGAAGGUGGGGGCUAUAUAUAAAGGAAAAAAAAUUUGAAAGCUACGCAGUAUUAGGGCAGCACCCAAAGCCACAGCUAUCGCGGUAUUAGGGUAGCACCCAAACCCAUGCCUAUCGCAGCGUUAAUAAGCUACCGAGGCGCGCUCCAAGGCCCAACCCUUUUACCAUCCCUGAAGGCCGAAAGAAAGAAGAAUCCAGAAUCCACGAGGACGGCGGUGACGAUGGGAUCGACGCUGGCGAAGCCCUUCCUCCGUCCUCCGUUUCACCUCCUCGCUGGCGCCGUCUCCACUACCUCCCGUGCUCCAUCCCUCCCUCUUUCUUCGUUAUCGAUUCCUUCGCCGCCGCCCUUCCUGGCGGACUACCUGGUGGACCGGCUGGGCUACCCGAAAGACCAGGCUCUCGCUGCCUCUAAGCCCCUGCUCCACAUCACCUCCCCGGAGAAGCCCGAUGCCGUCCUCGACUUCCUCCGCCGCCGCGCCGGCCUCUCCAUCCCCCAGCUCCGCCGCUUCGUCCGCUGCCGCCCCUCCAUCCUCGCCGCCGACGUCCACUCCAACCUCCUCCCCAAGCUCUCCCUCUUCCAUUCCCUCCUCUCCGACGUCGGCGCCUCCCCCGAUGACACGCCCCCCAAGGAUCUCGCCGUCCUCGUCUCUGCCUGCGCCCCCGCCUUUGGCUACAGCGCCGCCCGCCUCGCCCCUGCUCUCGACAUUCUCCGCUCCCUCUUCGCCGGCGAUAACCGCAAGGUCGCCUCCGCCCUCCGCCGCUGUCCCCGCCUUCUUACGAACGACCCCCAUAAGGUACUCGCUCGCAACCUCGCCGUCCUCCGCCGCCGUGGCCUCGAUGUUACCGCCCUCGUCGAGAAGGCCCCCGUCGUCCUCAUCCUCAGCCCUGAACGGCUGGACUCGACAUUCCAAAUCGUGAAGAAGGAAUUGAACAUUGGCAAUGCCUCUGUCGACGGCUAUUUCGAUGCUAUUUACCUGGGAACCUGCAUGUCCGAGAAGGCCUUCAAGAACAAGUUGAGAAUCGUCAGGAGCUACGGGUUCAGUAAUGCCGAGCUGUUCACCUUGAUCAGAAGGGCUCCGCUCUUCUUCCGGCUCACCGAUGAGCACAUGAAGAAGAAGCUGGAGUUCUUCAUUCGCUCUCUCGGCUACACUCCACAAUCACUGCUAUGGAACACCUGGCAGCUACUCUUCAGCCUGGAAACUAAGCUUUUGCCGAGAUAUGAGCUGCUGUGGGGCCUCCAAUCAAGAAAAUUGCUCCCAGGAAAUCUCAAAUAUGCAAAGGCAUUUGUCAUGCCUCAAGAAAGAUUCAAUCAAGAGUAUGUCUACAAGUUCAAGGAUGGUGGCGGCUCGGAUCUUGUCGAGUCCUACAUGAACAGCCCAGCAUUUAGCAAGUCAACCCCUGAGGAGUAAUAACUGAGAUGAGUGCACAAGUUGAUGGUUUAUAUGUCUCCAUAGUCUUUCUGCUGGUGUUUGAGGAGAGUAGCUCAAGGUCUAUUUAAUUUCUAAGCCAGAGCCUGGAAGGACUUGAAGUGUUGAACAUAUUUCUGCUUGAGAGAUCAGAAAAGUGCUCAUCCCCAGUUUGGAUAUAUCUAUAUAUAUUCUUCUGAACUUCAGUUCUAAAAAAACGAAGGGAUGAUAUACAGAGAAUGCAUUUGGACACCAUAUUAACAACAUAAUGCUUGUUACAGCUAUCAUGAAGGUACUUUCCCAUUUAUCUUUUACUCUUUUUUUUUCUGUUUUUUAAUAUCUGGAUCAGUGACUAUCUGGUAGUCCAUUUGUAUAUGCUAGAUGGUAAGAUGUUCGCAUGGUAGCUUGUCAUUAUUAUUAUUAUUAUUAUUAUUUAAUGUUUGACUGAAGCAGCAGGAUGCGCAAAUUACAAGUAAGCUAUAAGCUUUAAAUCUAUAUUUGUUAUUAUCAUAUGUUGCUUUUACAAUUUAGGUGAAUAGCCAAGGAUCAAGCAAUAUGCUUACUUAUACAUGCCUACUUGUUCUUUCUUUUUAUUUCUUUUUCUUUUCCCCUUCUUAUCUUUGAUAAUGGAGGUUCUUAGAUUUGAGAUUGGACUUUAGGUAUGCAGUUGGAAAAGAAAUUUAGAUAGAUAUAAAGGCUAUUUGGUUGGGUGUCUAUGACUCUUCCAUGUGUUCCUGGAAGCUGUUUGAUAACCUUUGUUUUGGAUGUUAUGUCAAGCAUAUAUUUGGGCUGAUGGAGGAACUGUAUGAAGAUGGAACCGCUUUUUACUCAUCUAGGAGGUAAGAGGUUAACAACUUGAUGAAUUGAGUUUAGAGAUGGAAACUUGGUUGGUAUUGUUUGUUAAAUUACCAAAUUGAAGAUGUUGGUACCUUGUCUAGAAGCAUUGCUUUUUCUUUCCACCUUGAACUUUAGGCCUUUGAACAUAUGAUUAUCGUUGGAGAGAUGUUGUUUUUUGACGGUUGCAUGAGUAAUGAAGCAAUUUUAUUUAUUUCAUAGAUGAUGAGUUAUUCUUUAUCAUGUCAUGGUUUUUACAUAUGACUAUUUGGUGCCACUGCUAAUGGAUGCUAGAAUUUCAGUACCUUUUCAUAAGGGCUUGAAGGAAUCAUUGAUUGUAGGGUAUAACAUCCCUCGCUUGAAUUUGAAGUUUUGUUUUUUAUGCAGACCAGUGACUUGUGAAAGAAAUUUCCAAUUUUGAUGGUGAUAAGAUUUUUAGCUUUAUAAUUGCUACCAUUUAAUAUUUUUAUAUCUAGAGAUUUAGUCAUCCUGGUUACUUAGGCAGGACCAAGGCGGAGUAAGAUCCAAG